UGAGUCAGUCCUAAUUAUAAAUCAGAACCACAAUGUAGAACCAGGCGGAUGUUUAUUGCUUGAAUCAGUCCCAAUUAUAAAUAACAGUACCGCAUAUUAUUAGACUCCAUAAUAUUGGACAUCUGAAAGCACGGGAACAAAACGCAAGUUGCUGUAUCUUCAAAAAAUCUUCAAGACAAACCCAUGAAUCAUAAAUGGAACAUAUUUUUCUCAGAAAGUGUUGGCGGUGGUCGAAAAUACAAGGAACUGUAUGAAAGAAUUGUAGAACAGCUGCAAGAUUAUGGUGUCUUAUUGUCUCAGUUUGGGGUGAUCCUGAUGAAGAUGAAUACAUGGAAAAAAAUCAGUGGAGUGAGAGGGAACUGCAUGACCAAGAUUUGAUAUCGCUUGAACACUGUGACGUGUUGGUGGCUGAAUGCUCAAAUCCGUCGUUAGGAGUUGGUUAUGAGAUUGCACAUGCAGUGCAACAGAACAAAAGGAUCCUGAUCCUGUGCCUUGCAGAUUCUGAUGACAAACUGCCGUCCAAGAUCCGAGGACUCCACAACGGUACAACUGUCAUUGUCAUGGAAUAUCAGGAAGAAGAGCUGGAAGACAUUCUUAGCCAUUUCUUUUCCAAAAUAGAUAAGAUAAGAUAAGAUAAGACUUUAUUUAUCACAGAGGGCAAUUCUGUUGCAGCUCGAUUAAAAUUCAAAUUCAUACACAAUUGCAUACACAAAACUAUUCAAGCCUCAUUCAUUCCACAGCCCCAUUCAAAAGUCGAAUGUGACUGGAUUUAAAGUUAAUCUGGCAAACAUUUUGUCUGUCCAAAAAUGUUCAUUUCGUGGUAGUAGUUUAGAAACCCCAAUUGACGAUGUCCGGCAAUUUCUGAUACAAGUCUAAUAUCAAUAAAGUUACAAUAAUGGAAUCAUA